UACGGAGGAUCCGAGCGUUAUCCGGAUUUAUUGGAUUUAAAGGGUGCGUAGGUGGAUUGGUAAGUCAGUGGUGAAAGUUUGCAGCUUAACUGUAAAAUUGCCGUUGAAACUGCCGGUCUUGAGUGCAAAUGAGGUAGGCGGAAUGCGUCGUGUAGCGGUGAAAUGCUUAGAUAUGACGCAGAACUCCGAUUGCGAAGGCAGCUUACUGGGAUGCAACUGACGCUGAGGCACGAAAGCGUGGGUAUCAAACAGGAUUAGA
rnacentral:rRNA from 1 species